GCUUCUCUUUGUAUAUUGACCAUACUGUGAGGACACUAAUGCUUCAUGUAACUACAGUCUUUGCCAUGCUGAUCGAAGACGACGACUCUAGAAGUUCAGAAGCUUUCUAAGGAGAACACAACCCAGACUGAUGUCGUUCAGACUAUUCUAUUGAAAGAGCACGUGUGAUCCCGUUUAUAUGCACUCACAAUGUUAGCAUUCCUCUUUAUAAAAUACAAGGCAGCUGGGCUUUAAAAUGUGUUAAAAUCUAACUGAGAAAUUAUUCAAUUACUUUGUGAAUCAAAUUUUGAAUCAAAUUUCUUUAGGACUAAAAAACUAAUUAAGGGUAAGUUUUUGUUUGGGGCAUGGAAGUUGAAGAAUUUAACACUCAACUAAUCAGACUGUUCUUUGGGUUUGUGUGUAACUACAAGGAAGUUAAUUAUUUUUGCUUGAAUUCCUAGAUUUCUAAAACAUAACUGUAUAUAUUACGGAUACACUUAAAUAAAGACAAACUCUGUCAUCCAUCCCUAUCUAUGUGUAUCUUAUGUUAGGAAUACUUGCAUUACAUCACACUUAACUCAAGCUCUCAUACUGUGAAAGUUACCAUAAAUUUACUAGACAGUAUAGUUUUGAUGUUUUAACACUUGCAUACUGGGAACUUAUAUAGC
ensembl:lncRNA